UACGAAGGGGGCUAGCGUUGUUCGGAAUUACUGGGCGUAAAGCGCGCGCAGGCGGUCUUCCAAGUCAGUGGUGAAAGCCCGGAGCUCAACUCCGGAACUGCCAUUGAAACUGUGAGACUUGAGGAUGAGAGAGGUGAGUGGAAUUCCCAGUGUAGAGGUGAAAUUCGUAGAUAUUGGGAAGAACACCGGUGGCGAAGGCGGCUCUCUGGACCGUAACUGACGCUGAGGCGCGAAAGCGUGGGGAGCAAACAGG
rnacentral:rRNA from 1 species